GGCGUAAAGGGCUCGCAGGCGGUUUCUUAAGUCUGAUGUGAAAGCCCCCGGCUCAACCGGGGAGGGUCAUUGGAAACUGGGGAACUUGAGUGCAGAAGAGGAGAGUGGAAUUCCACGUGUAGCGGUGAAAUGCGUAGAGAUGUGGAGGAACACCAGUGGCGAAGGCGACUCUCUGGUCUGUAACUGACGCUGAGGAGCGAAAGCGUGGGGAGCGAACAGGAUUAGAUACCCUGGUAGUCCACGCCGUAAACGAUGAGUGCUAAGUGUUAGGGGGUUUCCGCCCCUUAGUGCUGCAGCUAACGCAUUAAGCACUCCGCCUGGGGAGUACGGUCGCAAGACUGAAACUCAAAGGAAUUGACGGGGGCCCGCACAAGCGGUGGAGCAUGUGGUUUAAUUCGAAGCAACGCGAAGAACCUUACCAGGUCUUGACAUCCUCUGACAAUCCUAGAGAUAGGACGUCCCCUUCGGGGGCAGAGUGACAGGUGGUGCAUGGUUGUCGUCAGCUCGUGUCGUGAGAUGUUGGGUUAAGUCCCGCAACGAGCGCAACCCUUGAUCUUAGUUGCCAGCAUUCAGUUGGGCACUCUAAGGUGACUGCCGGUGACAAACCGGAGGAAGGUGGGGAUGACGUCAAAUCAUCAUGCCCCUUAUGACCUGGGCUACACACGUGCUACAAUGGACAGAACAAAGGGCAGCGAAACCGCGAGGUUAAGCCAAUCCCACAAAUCUGUUCUCAGUUCGGAUCGCAGUCUGCAACUCGACUGCGUGAAGCUGGAAUCGCUAGUAAUCGCGGAUCACAUGCG
rnacentral:rRNA from 1 species